rnacentral:rRNA from 1 species
CCUACGGGAGGCAGCAGUGGGGGAUAUUGCACAAUGGGGGGAACCCUGAUGCAGCGACGCCGCGUGGGUGAAGGAGCGUUUCGGCGCGUAAAGCUCUAUCGGCAGGGAAGAAGAUGACGGUACCUGACCAAGAAGCUCCGGCUAACUUCGUGCCAGCCGCCGCGGUACUACGUCGGGGGCCAGCGUUAUCCGGAUUUACUGGGUGUAAAGGGGGCGCAGUCGGCAAUGCAAGCCGGGAGUGAAAGCCCGGGGCCCAACCCCGGGACUGCGCGUGGAACUGGAUGGCUGGAGUGCAGGAGGGGCAGGCGGAAGUCCUGGUGUAGCGGUGAAAUGCGUAGAUAUUAGGAGGAACACCGGUGGCGAAGGCGGCCUGCUGGACUGUGACUGACGUUGAGGCCCGAAGGCGUGGGGAGCAAACAGGAUUAGAUACCCGGGUAGUC